AGAGUUUGAUCAUGGCUCAGAAUCAACGCUGGCGGCGCGCUUAACACAUGCAAGUCGAACGAGAAAGGGUAGCAAUACCUGAGUAAAGUGGCGUACGGGUGAGUAACACGUGGAUGAUAUGCCUUUUAGUGGGGAAUAACUUUGGGAAACCGAAGCUAAUACCGCAUAAUCCCGAGAGGGGAAAGCAGCAAUGCGCUGAAAGAGUAGUCCGCGGCUGAUUAGCUAGUUGGUGAGGUAAUGGCUCACCAAGGCUUUGAUCGGUAGCCGGCCUGAGAGGGCACACGGCCACACUGGCACUGAAACACGGGCCAGACUCCUACGGGAGGCAGCAGUGGGGAAUCUUGCACAAUGGACGAAAGUCUGAUGCAGCGACGCCGCGUGAGCGAUGAAGCCCUUCGGGGUGUAAAGCUCUUUCGACAGGAACGAUAAUGACGGUACCUGAGAGAGCUGCGAUCCCG
rnacentral:rRNA from 1 species